ACCAAAAACCUCCAUUAAAUAGUAGCUAAAAACAUGCAUGACUAUCUCUAGUGUAUAGCUUAAGCUCUUUUCUUUCCUCUAUAUAAGCUUAAAAAAUUUCCAGCAAAGGCAAAAAAAAAGAACCCUAAUUCAAUAUUUCGGUUCAUCUAUUGUUAUUGUCUUUCUGGUAUAUAUCUAUGUUGGUUUGAGAGGUUGAAGCUGCCAGCAUGAUCUGGUGAUUAACCUAGCUAUCACUUUUUCUUUUUUCCUCCCUUUUUAUGUAUGUUUUUUCUGCCUCUUUAGUGGUAUAUAUGCAGAUUGAAAGACCAGUUUUGGAUUAAAUUUCUUGAGUUAUCUUCAGCCUGCUUGAACUUUAUAGCUUCAUAGGUAUGGUUUCAACAUCAGAUCAUCUUGCAGCUUCAAUCACUCACUCACCAACAAAAGACAACUCUUUUUUAUCUAGCUAUUUAUGGAUACAUUUGUGAUUUUGGCUCCACGCCUUCAUUCCAGGUGUAUGUGAUAAUAAUUGAUGAGGUCUUAUUACAGUUAGUACAAUGUUGUUGUUGGGGUGGAACAGGAAGUCAUAAAUGAGGGUAAGCAAAGCUAAUUGACACUUGAAAAGAACCAAAAAAGAACGAAUAAUGGUAGUAUACAUCUAAGGAAAUGAUUGAUGGCUUGAGCUCCUAAUUUGUAAUUUUGGUUAGAAAUUAAGAUCCAUGUUUGUUUUUCACUACUCACUCAAUACUGUGAAAUUUUGCUUAUUAAUUACCUUUGUUUUGCUUGCAACUACAAAUAGGGGUAAGCAAAUUUCGAUUCGAUUCGAAACAAUUGAAAAUUUUUUUGAAUUUCGAAUUAAUUGAAUCGAGUUAUUACUCGAAUAACUAA